AUUGAACGCUGGCGGCAUGCCUUACACAUGCAAGUCGAACGGCAGCACGGGUGCUUGCACCUGGUGGAGAGUGGCGAACGGGUGAGUAAUACAUCGGAACGUACCUUAUCGUGGGGGAUAACGCAGCGAAAGCUGUGCUAAUACCGCAUACGCCCUGAGGGGGAAAGCGGGGGAUCGCAAGACCUCGCGCGAUUAGAGCGGCCGAUGCCUGAUUAGCUUGUUGGUGGGGUAAAAGCCCACCAAGGCGACGAUCAGUAGCUGGUCUGAGAGGACGAUCAGCCACACUGGGACUGAGACACGGCCCAGACUCCUACGGGAGGCAGCAGUGGGGAAUUUUGGACAAUGGGGGCAACCCUGAUCCAGCAAUGCCGCGUGAGUGAAGAAGGCCUACGGGUUGUAAAGCUCUUUUGUCAGGGAAGAAACACCGGCUCUAACACAGUCCGGGAAUGACGGUACCUGAAGAAUAAGCACCGGCUAACUACGUGCCAGCCGCCGCAGUAA
rnacentral:rRNA from 1 species